GUGGGCAGUGGAGAGUGGGCAGUGGGUGUGGUCAGUGAGUGUGAGUAGUGGAGAAAGGUCAGUAGGUGUGGUGAGUGAGUGUGGUCAUUUGGGGUGGUCAGUGGCAGUGUGGUCAGUUGGGUUGUCACUGGGUGUGGUCAGCAGGGUGUGGGCAUUGGUGUCUGGGCAGUGGUUGUGGGCAUUGGGGUGUGGUCAGUGGGUGUGGGCAGUGAGAUGUGAUUAGUAGCUGUGGUCAGUGGAUGUGGUCAGUUGGGAGGUUGGUGGGGGUGGUAAGUAGGUGUGGUCAGUUGGGUGGUCAAUGAGUGGGGUCAUUGGGUUCAGUCAGUGGCGGAGUGGUCAGUGGAGUGUAGGCAGUGGUGUGUGGACAAGGGUGUUGUCAGUGGGUGUGGACAUUGGGCAGGCCCAUGUGGUUUGGCCAGCGGGAAUGGUCACUGUGUUUGGUCAGUGGGUACUGUUGGUGGGUGUGGGCAGUGGGUUGUGGGCAUCGGUGUCUGGGCAGUGGGUUUGGUCAGUGGAGGUGGUCCGUUGGUGUGGUCAGUGGGUGUGGUCAUUGGGCAGGCCCAUGUGGUUUGGCCAGCGGGAAUGGUCACUGUGUUUGGUCAGUGGGUACUGUUGGUGGGUGUGGCCAGUGGGUUGUGGGCAUCGGUGUCUGGGCAGUGGGUUUAGUCAGUGGGUGUGGUCGUUGGUGGUGGUCAGUGGAUGUGGUCAGUGGAGGUGGUCAGGUGGUGUGGUCAGUGGGUGUGAGCAGUGCAGUGGCCAGUUGGUGUGGUCAGUGGGAGAACUCGGUGGGGUGUGGGCAGUGGGUGUGGUUAGUAGGGGUAUGAGCAGUUGGAUGGUCACUGGGUGUGGUCAGUGGAGUGCGGGCAUUGGUGUCUUGGCAAAGGGUCUGGUCAAUUGUUGCAGUGAGUUGGUGUGGUCAGUGGGGUGUGGCCAUUGGUUGUGGGUAAUGGGUGUAGGCAGUGGUGUGUGAUCAGUGGGCGUGCUCAGUGGUGGUGGUAAGUGGGUGUGAGCUGUGCAGAGUGGUCAGUGGCUGUGGGCCGUGGGUGGUGUUGGUGGAUGUGGUCAGUUGGGUGGAAACUUGGUGUGGUCAGUGGGUGUGGGCUGUGGGGGUGGUGAGUAGGAAAAUUCAGUGGGAUGUGGGCAAUGGGUGGGAGCAGUGCAUGUGGUCAGUAGGGGUGUGGUCAGUUGGGUGGUCAGUAGGAUGUGGUCAGUGGGGUGUGGCCAUUGGUUGUGGGUAAUGGGGGUAGGCAGUGGUGUGUGAUCAGUGGGUGUGCUCAGGGGUGGUGGUAAGUGGGUGUGAGCUGUGCAGAGUGGUCAGGGGCUGUGGGCCGUGGGUGGUGUUGGUGGAUGUGGUCAGUUGGGUGGUCAGUAGGAUGUGGUCAGUGGGGUGUGGCCAUUGGUUGUGGGUAAUGGGGGUAGGCAGUGGUGUGUGAUCAGUGGGUGUGCUCAGGGGUGGUGGUAAGUGGGUGUGAGCUGUGCAGAGUGGUCAGGGGCUGUGGGCCGUGGGUGGUGUUGGUGGAUGUGGUCAGUUGGGUGGUCAGUAGGAUGUGGUCAGUGGGGUGUGGCCAUUGGUUGUGGGUAAUGGGGGUAGGCAGUGGUGUGUGAUCAGUGGGUGUGCUCAGGGGUGGUGGUAAGUGGGUGUGAGCUGUGCAGAGUGGUCAGGGGCUGUGGGCCGUGGGUGGUGUUGGUGGAUGUGGUCAGUUGGGUGGUCAGUAGGAUGUGGUCAGUGGGGUGUGGCCAUUGGUUGUGGGUAAUGGGGGUAGGCAGUGGUGUGUGAUCAGUGGGUGUGCUCAGGGGUGGUGGUAAGUGGGUGUGAGCUGUGCAGAGUGGUCAGGGGCUGUGGGCCGUGGGUGGUGUUGGUGGAUGUGGUCAGUUGGGUGGUCAGUAGGAUGUGGUCAGUGGGUGUGGCUUUCUGGGAUGCUCAGUGGGAAGGUGCUUGGCCAAGGCAAAAGGAGGCUCCCUGUGUGCCCUGCUCCCCUCUCCCUGAGCUCCUGAGCGCUCUGCAGCCCCUGCUGCCAUCCAUCUGCCCAGGCCAGCACAACAGCCUCAGCCUUGGGGCCCUGCAGAGCUGCUCCUGCUCCAGGCCCAGGGCCCAUCGCAGAGCUGGGGCAGCCACAACGCUGUGCCCAUUUCUGUUCAUUCCUGCUCUGAUGAGGAUGGAUCCUCAGCCACUUGGAGGCUGCUGAUGAAUUUUCCUACUCCAGAGGUGUCUUCUUUCUUCAGCUCUUCAGUUCAGGAAUUCAGUGGCAAAGACUCAUAAACAUUUGUGGAAAACACCCAAACAAGAUAAGCCCC
rnacentral:lncRNA from 12 species